UACGUAGGGUGCGAGCGUUGUCCGGAAUUACUGGCGUAAAGAGCUCGUAGGCGGUCUGUCGCGUCGGAUGUGAAAUCCAGGCUCAACCCUGGACCUGCAUUCGAUACGGGCAGACUAGAGUUCGGCAGGGAGACUGGAAGUUCCUGGUGUAGCGGUGGAAAUGCGCAGAUAUCAGGAGGAACACCCGGUGGCGAAGGCGGGUCUCUGGGCCGCAACUGACGCUGAGGAGCGAAAGCGUGGGGAGCGAACAGG
rnacentral:rRNA from 1 species